rnacentral:lncRNA from 1 species
GAAGACAAAGACAAGAGGAGAGAGAAGUGAGAGAAGUGAGAGAAGGCCAGUGAAAUGUGUGAUUUGUCUGAGGACUUCUCUUAAUCUGGCACCAGAAGAUGCUUGCAGAGAAAUAUUUGAGAUCUACUUGACAUGUGAACUGGAUCAUACUUCUGUGUAACCUGGUAAAGAAUACAGAGUAAGAGAAAUGUUAUUCCAAAGAGGAGGAGAGUAAGUGUAUCAGAAAAGUACGUCCUGGGAAGCCUGAAAAGUACAAAAAAGGGUGUGGCGUGGCCUCUGGGUUGUCCAGCCUCUGGUUCCUAGAAAUCUAGGUAGUGUCAGUCAUGGACUCCAUCUCAUAACAUGGACCUCAAAUUUGACCAGUGAUUGGUUGUCCACUAUCACAAGUUCUGCUCCAUCAUUAUGCCAGCACAUCUUAGAGGAAGGAUUUCAAGUGUAAGUGAUGAGAGUUGAGAGCAAUAUCUUGCCAUAUAUAACCAAUUUAAUUUUUUGUGUCACGAAAGC